GAACUAUUUCUAUAUAGGUCUGCUUCCC
rnacentral:piRNA from 1 species